rnacentral:rRNA from 1 species
GGUAGUCCACGCCGUAAACGAUGAAUGCUAAGUGUUGGAGGGUUUCCGCCCUUCAGUGCUGCAGCUAACGCAUUAAGCAUUCCGCCUGGGGAGUACGGCCGCAAGGCUGAAACUCAAAGGAAUUGACGGGGGCCCGCACAAGCGGUGGAGCAUGUGGUUUAAUUCGAAGCUACGCGAAGAACCUUACCAGGUCUUGACAUACUAUGCAAAUCUAAGAGAUUAGACGUUCCCUUCGGGGACAUGGAUACAGGUGGUGCAUGGUUGUCGUCAGCUCGUGUCGUGAGAUGUUGGGUUAAGUCCCGCAACGAGCGCAACCCUUAUUAUCAGUUGCCAGCAUUAAGUUGGGCACUCUGGUGAGACUGCCGGUGACAAACCGGAGGAAGGUGGGGAUGACGUCAAAUCAUCAUGCCCCUUAUGACCUGGGCUACACACGUGCUACAAUGGAUGGUACAACGAGUUGCGAACUCGCGAGAGUAAGCUAAUCUCUUAAAGCCAUUCUCAGUUCGGAUUGUAGGCUGCAACUCGCCUACAUGAAGUCGGAAUCGCUAGUAAUCGCGGAUCAGCAUGCCGCGGUGAAUACGUUCCCGGGCCUUGUACACACCGCCCGUCACACCAUGAGAGUUUGUAACACCCAAAGUCGGUGGGGUAACCUUUUAGGAACCAGCCGCCUAAGGUGGGACAGAUGAUUAGGGUGAAGUCGUAACAAGGUAACC